rnacentral:rRNA from 1 species
GUCUAUGGUCAUGCUACUCUGAACGUACCCGAUCUCGUCUGAUCUCAGAAGCUAAGCAAGGUCGGGCCUGGUUAGUACUUGGAUGGGAGACCACCUAGGAAGACCAGGUGCUGUAGGCG